rnacentral:misc_RNA from 1 species
GAUGAAGAACGCAGCGAAAUGCGAUAAGUAGUGUGAAUUGCAGAAUUCAGUGAAUCAUCGAAUCUUUGAACGCACAUUGCGCCCCCUGGUAUUCCGGAGGGCAUGCCUGUCCGAGCGUCAUUGCUGCCCUCAAGCACGGCUUGUGUGUUGGGCUCCGUCCUCCUUCCGGGGGACGGGCCCGAAAGGCAGCGGCGGCACCGCGUCCGGUCCUCAAGCGUAUGGGGCUUUGUCACCCGCUUUGUAGGACUGGCCGGCGCCUGCCGAUCAACCAAACUUUUUUCCAGGUUGACCUCGGAUCAGGUAGGGAUACCCGCUGAACUUAAGCAUAUCAAUAAGCGGAGGA